CUGGCGGGCUCCUUCUGUAAAGUUGCUGCCGCCUGCCGGCCACACACUGCCCGGUCCUCUACCCCCGAGCCACCCCUUGCCCUUUGGCCACAAACAAGGCGAAGGGCUUUUCAAGGUCAGGCAUCCCCAGCACCGGACUGUGGCCAGCAGGCUCCUCCCUGUUUGCCCUUCCGUUCAAGCGGGUCAGUGUCUGGGCCUCAGCGACCUGGACCCCGGAAUCCAGACCCCGCCAGGGCCUCCCAGCCCUAGAAACCUCCUGCACUGCGUUUGGUCCGCGGCGGGCCUGGGCCCGGUGUGGCUUCCGUGUGCGCCACAGAAAGUGCCCGCCUUCCCGCGGUCCGGACGUGUCCCCGGCGUGUCCUUGUCAGGGAAUCUGGGCCUGUGUGGGGGAGCUCCCAGCCUGGUUCGGGGGACGUGGGUUCUUCCUGGGAGGGGCGACAGAGGAGCAGCUCAUCGGCAGGCUGCGGGGGCUCCCCGAGUUCUCUGGCCAGAGCUUCGCCAGGUGGGUGGGGACUGCCCUGGAGCCCUGUGGCAGGACCGUGCGGGGUCCCUGCCGAGUCACGCUGCCACGGGAGCGCCCGAGCCACCGGCUGACGCCCUGAGAUUCCGGGCAUGCGGGCACGCAGAAGAACGCGUCUGGAGCUGGAGGACUGGGAGCAACCGCACCUUCAGGCGUCUGGGCUGACAGCUCAGGGAUGAGGCAUGACGGGGUGGAGGGGGUGGCAGGCCGCUGGCCGCCCGGGUUGCUGGGCCACCUGGUCCUCCCCACCCACUUCCAGAGCGGGCAGGAUGGGGGUCCUGCACGGAGAGCGGCACAGGGCCAGGAACAUGUCUGUUACGGGCUGGGGGCCUCGCCGGGGCUCAGGCUUAAUGGGGUGCUGGCGUGUGCCAGGGUAAUUACUCUUGUCCUUUAAAGCAGCUGGGGUCCCCUCGUGGCACACGUGGGAAUUAACCGGAUGCCACACCUGCAGGGAAAGAGCUGGAGCUCCCCGGCUCAGAGGCUGGCCGGGAGAGGCCCCGAGCCCCGGGGGGCUGAGACAAGCUCCCAGGGCGGACAGAAAAUCUCUUCCCAAGACCAGGCCUGGACCUUCUGGCACAACCAAGAGUUUGGGAGCCACGAGGUGAUUUCCCCACCACCAAGACAGAGGUCGGGUGGGACAUGUCGAUUGGGCUCCCCCUCUCCCAUGACCAUGCAGCAGGUCAGCAGCCGGGGGUCCAGACUGGGAAGUCAGGGAAGAAGUGCCUCUCGGGUCGAUUCGAAAGUGAAUAGGGUCACCUGCCCUAACCCCCAAGAUGCGAUGGUCUUCUGGGAGCAUCCGGAAGCCUCGGGCCCAUUGAUCAGCCACGACCGUGACCGCGAUCUUCUGGAGCUUUCUAGGAACAUCGGGGGCUGACCGGCUUACGCAGCAGCCCCGGGAUCAAGCACCCAUCCUGAGGGCCUGGGGACGUACGUGGAUCUCCGCAGCCCUUCCGCUGCGCGGGAUUGGAAGAGGGCAGGAUUUCCCUCCUCGUGGCGCCGUUCACUGGCUUGAUGACACGCCCCUUCGCGCCCUCCCAGAGGCACGCCUCCUGGCGGUCCCCGAGGGCCAAGCCCUGCUGCCCAGGCUAGUGGUCCCACCUGGGGUCCGUCUGAGGUCCAGCCACCAUCCCCAGUGGGUGCAUGAGGGGAGAACGCUGGGGAGGGCACCUGCGCGGGUCCGCGCUCCGGCCCAGCUGCACAAACCCCCAGGUUCCAGCAGAGGGUGAGAGCGAUGACCCAGGGGUCCCUCCAGGUGAGAUCAAACGUCGGGGUCAGGCCCGUGAAGUCCUCCGUGAAUGUGUCCCUGUCCUCAGAGAAACGACAGGGGCUCAGGGCAUCGUUCUGACACGGAAGAGGGGAUGUACUCUGGUUGUGCCCAGAGGCCCCCCCGCCACGUUGCCACGUUGCCACGUUGCCACGUUGGGAAGCCGGAACGGGAAUCCUUCUGACUCGGCUCCAGUGACGGGGACAGAUGCAUUGGCUGUUGUCCUUCCAAAGCAGCCCCCUUGAUCCUCAACCGCCAUCGGCAUCUACACAGUGGGUCCCACUCGCCUGGAGGCUCUGCGAGGUGGGGACUGCAUCGGGCUCCGUGAACGCUGUGAUCCGGGUAGGACGCCAAGUCCUCCAGGGUCCACAGCGAGAGCUGGAGGAUUGGUCCGCAGAAUCCGAAGCGACUGGUUUCCUCCACAAAUACGUCGUCGGCAGGGAGACAGAAAGAGAGGGUCAGACGCGGGGAGACCCUGUUCCUUAAACGAGACGUAUGGAGCCAGUUUGGACCCCAGCCUGAGCAAAGGGAAAGCGUUCUACAAGACAAUCAGGGAAAUUGGGCUCUGGCUGGACAUUGGAGAAUAUUCAGGAAUGACUGUUAGUUGUUUUAAACAGUGAUAACGGAAUUGUUGGGUUUGGCUUGUUUUUCUUAAGUCCUUCUAUUUUAGAUA